CCUACGGGUGGCAGCAGUGGGGGAUAUUGCACAAUGGGGGAAACCCUGAUGCAGCGACGCCGCGUGGGUGAAGAAGCGCCUCGGCGCGUAAAGCCCUGUCAGCAGGGAAGAAAAUGACGGUACCUGAAGAAGAAGCCCCGGCUAACUACGUGCCAGCAGCCGCGGUAAUACGUAGGGGGCAAGCGUUAUCCGGAUUUACUGGGUGUAAAGGGGGCGCAGACGGCGAUGCAAGCCAGGAGUGAAAGCCCGGGGCCCAACCCCGGGACUGCUCUUGGAACUGCGUGGCUAGAGUGCAGGAGGGGCAGGCGGAAUGCGUGGUGUAGCGGUGAAAUGCGUAGAUAUCACGAGGAACACCGGUGGCGAAGGCGGCCUGCUGGACUGCAACUGACGUUGAGGCACGAAAGCGUGGGGAGCAAACAGGAUUAGAUACCCGAGUAGUC
rnacentral:rRNA from 1 species